rnacentral:lncRNA from 1 species
UUAAUCGAGCUGAUUUUUUUUUCAAUUCAAGUUCAUGGACCCUCUGAAAUCUCUCCAUGAACUCCUUGGGGAUCCAUGGAUCCCUGGUUAAGAACCCCUGCUCUAGAAGGUAUUUGGAGACUAUUCUAGGAAUUUUGAAAACCCCUUUAAAAGCUGAGGCUUUACUGCAAGAGGAGAAAAGAACACUCUAAAUCUCUGACUAUUGCAGAUUGAGCAACGGAUGAUAUUUCCAACCACAAACUGUAGAUCAACACUAGAAAACUGUAGGCAAGAUUUCUUUGUCUAAAAAUUUGCCAACAAAGGACUGUACAUUUUUUCAUUUUAUUGUGUAAAAUAUACAUAAAUUAAUGUUUUCAAAUUUAGACAUUUUAAAGUAUGUAAUGUUAAGUCUUCCAGUCCAUGAAUAUGGGAUAUCUUUUCAUUUAUUUAGAUCUUCUUUAAUUUCUGUCAGCAAUAUAUCGUAGUUUUUAGUGUACAGGUCUUCUACCGCCUUUGUUAAAUUUAGUGCUAAGUAUUCUAUUAAUUUUAACGCUAUUGUAAACGUACCUGUUUUCUUAGUUUCCUUCUUGAAUUGUUCAUUGCUAGUGUAUAGAGCUACAACUGAUUUUUGUGUGUGUUGAUUUUGUAGCCUGUAACUUUGCUGAAUUUGUUUAUUAGCUCUAACAGUUUUUUUUUAAAAUUGUGGAUUCUUUAGGGUUUUCUACAUAGAUGACCAUGUUGUCUGUGAAGAGAAAUAAUUUUACUUCUUCCUUUUCAAUUUGGAUGCUGUAGCAGUUUGAUAUUAUCUAUGAAUUAAAAAAAAAGAUUUUGAUUAUGUUUGUAAACUGAUCUGUUCCCCUGGGCAUGAUACCCUUUGAUUGUAUAAGAUUCAGC